CCUACGGGAGGCAGCAGUGGGGAAUAUUGGACAAUGGGGGAAACCCUGAUCCAGCCAUGCCGCGUGUGUGAAGAAGGCCCUCGGGUUGUAAAGCACUUUCAGUGAGGAAGAACGCGUGGUGGUUCAUACCCAUCAGGAAAGACAUCACUCACAGAAGAAGCACCGGCUAACUCCGUGCCAGCAGCCGAGGUAAUACGGAGGGUGCGAGCGUUAAUCGGAAUUACUGGGCGUAAAGCGCGCGUAGGUGGCUUGAUAAGCCGGUUGUGAAAGCCCCGGGCUCAACCUGGGAACGGCAUCCGGAACUGUCCAGCUAGAGUGCAGGAGAGGAAGGUAGAAUUCCCGGUGUAGCGGUGAAAUGCGUAGAGAUCGGGAGGAAUACCAGUGGCGAAGGCGGCCUUCUGGACUGACACUGACACUGAGGUGCGAAAGCGUGGGUAGCAAACAGGAUUAGAUACCCCUGUAGUC
rnacentral:rRNA from 1 species